UACGGAGGGUGCGAGCGUUGUCCGGAAUCACUGGGCGUAAAGGGCGCGUAGGCGGGCGACCAAGUCCGGGGUGAAAUCUUUCGGCUCAACCGGAAGAGUGCCUUGGAUACUGGUUGCCUCGAGGGAGGUAGGGGCAUGCGGAACUUCCGGUGGAGCGGUGAAAUGCGUAGAUAUCGGAAGGAACGCCGGUGGCGAAAGCGGCGUGCUGGACCUCUUCUGACGCUGAGGCGCGAAAGCCAGGGGAGCGAACGGG
rnacentral:rRNA from 1 species